rnacentral:rRNA from 1 species
AUUGAACGCUGGCGGCAUGCCUUACACAUGCAAGUCGAACGGUAACAGGUUAAGCUGACGAGUGGCGAACGGGUGAGUAAUAUAUCGGAACGUGCCCAGUCGUGGGGGAUAACGUAGCGAAAGCUACGCUAAUACCGCAUACGAUCUACGGAUGAAAGCGGGGGAUCGCAAGACGUCGCGCGAUUGGAGCGGCCGACAUCAGAUUAGGUAGUUGGUGGGGUAAAGGCUCACCAAGCCAACGGUCUGUAGCUGGUCUGAGAGGACGACCAGCCACACUGGAACGGAGACCCGGACCAGACUCCGACGGGAGGCAGCAGUGGGGAAUUUUGGACAAUGGGCGCAAGCCUGAUCCAGCAAUGCCGCGUGCAGGAAGAAGGCCUUCGGGUUGUAAACUGCUUUUGUACGGAACGAAACGGUCUGGGUUAAUACCCCGGGCUAAUGACGGUACCGUAAGAAUAAGCACCGGCUAACUACGUGCCAGCAGCCGCCGUAA